rnacentral:rRNA from 1 species
AGAGUUUGAUCCUGGCUCAGGAUGAACGCUAGCGGCAGGCUUAACACAUGCAAGUCGAGGGGCAGCGCGAUGUAGCAAUACAUUGGCGGCGACCGGCGCACGGGUGCGUAACACGUAUGGAAUCUGCCCUGUACUGGAAGAUAACCCGGCGAAAGUCGGACUAAUAUCCCAUAAUAGCCGAGGUGGCAUCACCUUGGUUUGAAAGCUCCGGCGGUACAGGAUGACCAUGCGCACGAUUAGCUAGUUGGUGAGGUAACGGCUCACCAAGGCUACGAUCGUUAGGGGGCCUGAGAGGGUUAUCCCCCACACUGGUACUGAGACACGGACCAGACUCCUACGGGAGGCAGCAGUGAGUAAUAUUGCGCAAUGGAGGCAACUCUGACGCAGCCAUGCCGCGUGCAGGAAGAAGGCGCUACGCGUUGUAAACUGCUUUUAUCCGGGAAGAAACCCCAGGACGUGUCCUGGGUUGACGGUACCGGAGGAAUAAGCACCGGCUAACUUCGUGCCAGCAGCCGCGGUAAUACGAAGGGUGCAAGCGUUAUCCGGAUUCAUUGGGUUUAAAGGGUGCGUAGGUGGGGCGAUAAGUCAGCGGUGAAAUCCUGCAGCUCAACUGCAGAAUUGCCGUUGAUACUGUCGCUCUUGAGUACGCUUGACGUGGGCGGAAUGUGCCGUGUAGCGGUGAAAUGCUUAGAUAUGGCACAGAACACCGAUAGUGAAGACAGCUCACGAAGGCGAAACUGACACUGAGGCACGAAAGCGUGGGGAUCGAACAGGAUUAGAUACCCUGGUAGUCCACGCCGUAAACGAUGAUCACUCGUGAUCGGCGAUAUACGGCCGGUCACCUAGCGAAAGCGUUAAGUGAUCCACCUGGGGAGUACGGCCGCAAGGCUGAAACUCAAAGGAAUUGACGGGGGCCCGCACAAGCGGUGGAGCACGUGGUUUAAUUCGAUGCAAACCGAAGAACCUUACCUGGGUUUGACAUGCAGGUGGUAGAGAGAAGAGAUUUGAUCGACUCUGCAGUAAUGUAGAGAGCCUGCACAGGUGCUGCAUGGCUGUCGUCAGCUCGUGUCGUGAGAUGUUGGGUUAAGUCCCGCAACGAGCGCAGCCCCUAUUGCCAGUUGCUAACAGGAGAGCUGAGCACUCUGGCGAGACUGCCGCCGACAAGGCGGAGGAAGGUGGGGAUGACGUCAAGUCAUCAUGGCCUUUAUGCCCAGGGCUACACACGUGCUACAAUGGCCGGCACAGACGGCAGCUUAGUGGCGACACUUGGCAAAUCCUCUAAAGCCGGUCCCAGUUCGGAUUGUAGUCUGCAACUCGACUACAUGAAGCCGGAAUCGCUAGUAAUCGCAGAUCAGCCAAGCUGCGGUGAAUACGUUCCCGGGCCUUGUACACACCGCCCGUCACACCACCCGAGUUGGGGGCACCCGAAGCCGCAGGCUUAACCCGUAAGGGAAAGAAGCGUCUAAGGUGCGCCGAGUAAGGGGGGUGAAGUCGUAACAAGGUAACC